GUAAAAAGUAGAAUAAUAGAUUUGAAAUAUUUAUUAUAUAGAUUUAAAGAGAUAAUCAUGGAGUAUAAUAAUUAAAUUUAAUAAAUUUAAUAUAACUAUUAAUAGAAUUAGGUUACUAAUAAAUUAAUAACAAUUAAUUUUAAAACCUAAAGGUAAACCUUUAUAUUAAUAAUGUUUUUUUUUAUUAUUUUUAUAAUAAGAAUAAUUAUUAAUAAUAAUAAACUAAGUGAACUGAAACAUCUAAGUAACUUAAGGAUAAGAAAUCAACAGAGAUAUUAUGAGUAUUGGUGAGAGAAAAUAAUAAAGGUCUAAUAAGUAUUAUGUGAAAAAAAAUGUAAGAAAAUAGGAUAACAAAUUCUAAGACUAAAUACUAUUAAUAAGUAUAGUAAGUACCGUAAGGGAAAGUAUGGAAAUGAUUAUUUUAUAAGCAAUCAUGAAUAUAUUAUAUUAUAUUAAUGAUGUACCUUUUGUAUAAUGGGUCAGCAAGUAAUUAAUAUUAGUAAAACAAUAAGUUAUAAAUAAAUAGAAUAAUAUAUAUAUAUAUAAAAAUAUAUUAAAAUAUUUAAUUAAUAUUAAUUGACCCGAAAGCAAACGAUCUAACUAUGAUAAGAUGGAUAAACGAUCGAACAGGUUGAUGUUGCAAUAUCAUCUGAUUAAUUGUGGUUAGUAGUGAAAGACAAAUCUGGUUUGCAGAUAGCUGGUUUUCUAUGAAAUAUAUGUAAGUAUAGCCUUUAUAAAUAAUAAUUAUUAUAUAAUAUUAUAUUAAUAUUAUAUAAAGAAUGGUACAGCAAUUAAUAUAUAUUAGGGAACUAUUAAAGUUUUAUUAAUAAUAUUAAAUCUCGAAAUAUUUAAUUAUAUAUAAUAAAGAGUCAGAUUAUGUGCGAUAAGGUAAAUAAUCUAAAGGGAAACAGCCCAGAUUAAGAUAUAAAGUUCCUAAUAAAUAAUAAGUGAAAUAAAUAUUAAAAUAUUAUAAUAUAAUCAGUUAAUGGGUUUGACAAUAACCAUUUUUUAAUGAACAUGUAACAAUGCACUGAUUUAUAAUAAAUAAAAAAAUAAUAUUUAAAAUCAAAUAUAUAUAUAUUUGUUAAUAGAUAAUAUACGGAUCUUAAUAAUAAGAAUUAUUUAAUUCCUAAUAUGGAAUAUUAUAUUUUUAUAAUAAAAAUAUAAAUACUGAAUAUCUAAAUAUUAUUAUUACUUUUUUUUUAAUAAUAAUAAUAUGGUAAUAGAACAUUUAAUGAUAAUAUAUAUUAGUUAUUAAUUAAUAUAUGUAUUAAUUAAAUAGAGAAUGCUGACAUGAGUAACGAAAAAAAGGUAUAAACCUUUUCACCUAAAACAUAAGGUUUAACUAUAAAAGUACGGCCCCUAAUUAAAUUAAUAAGAAUAUAAAUAUAUUUAAGAUGGGAUAAUCUAUAUUAAUAAAAAUUUAUCUUAAAAUAUAUAUAUUAUUAAUAAUUAUAUUAAUAAUAUAUAUAAUUAUAUUAUAUAUAUUUUUUUUAUAUAAUAUAAACUAAUAAAGAUCAGGAAAUAAUUAAUGUAUACCGUAAUGUAGACCGACUCAGGUAUGUAAGUAGAGAAUAUGAAGGUGAAUUAGAUAAUUAAAGGGAAGGAACUCGGCAAAGAUAGCUCAUAAGUUAGUCAAUAAAGAGUAAUAAGAACAAAGUUGUACAACUGUUUACUAAAAACACCGCACUUUGCAGAAACGAUAAGUUUAAGUAUAAGGUGUGAACUCUGCUCCAUGCUUAAUAUAUAAAUAAAAUUAUUUAACGAUAAUUUAAUUAAAUUUAGGUAAAUAGCAGCCUUAUUAUGAGGGUUAUAAUGUAGCGAAAUUCCUUGGCCUAUAAUUGAGGUCCCGCAUGAAUGACGUAAUGAUACAACAACUGUCUCCCCUUUAAGCUAAGUGAAAUUGAAAUCGUAGUGAAGAUGCUAUGUACCUUCAGCAAGACGGAAAGACCCUAUGCAGCUUUACUGUAAUUAGAUAGAUCGAAUUAUUGUUUAUUAUAUUCAGCAUAUUAAGUAAUCCUAUUAUUAGGUAAUCGUUUAGAUAUUAAUGAGAUACUUAUUAUAAUAUAAUGAUAAUUCUAAUCUUAUAAAUAAUUAUUAUUAUUAUUAUUAAUAAUAAUAAUAUGCUUUCAAGCAUAGUGAUAAAACAUAUUUAUAUGAUAAUCACUUUACUUAAUAGAUAUAAUUCUUAAGUAAUAUAUAAUAUAUAUUAUAUAUAUAUUAUAUAUAAUAUAAGAGACAAUCUCUAAUUGGUAGUUUUGAUGGGGCGUCAUUAUCAGCAAAAGUAUCUGAAUAAGUCCAUAAAUAAAUAUAUAAAAUUAUUGAAUAAAAAAAAUAAUAUAUAUUAUAUAUAUUAAUUAUAAAUUGAAAUAUGUUUAUAUAAAUUUAUAUUUAUUGAAUAUAUUUUAGUAAUAGAUAAAAAUAUGUACAGUAAAAUUGUAAGGAAAACAAUAAUAACUUUCUUAAAUAAAAAAUGGAAAGAAUUAAAUUAAUAUAAUGGUAUAACUGUGCGAUAAUUGUAACACAAACAAGUGAAACAAGUACGUAAGUAUGGCAUAAUGAACAAAUAACACUGAUUGUAAAGGUUAUUGAUAACGAAUAAAAGUUACGCUAGGGAUAACAGGGUAAUAUAACGAAAGAGUAGAUAUUGUAAGUUAUGUUUGCCACCUCGAUGUCGACUCAACAUUUCCUCUUGGUUGUAAAAGCUAAGAAGGGUUUGACUGUUCGUCAAUUAAAAUGUUACGUGAGUUGGGUUAAAUACGAUGUGAAUCAGUAUGGUUCCUAUCUGCUGAAGGAAAUAUUAUCAAAUUAAAUCUCAUUAUUAGUACGCAAGGACCAUAAUGAAUCAACCCAUGGUGUAUCUAUUGAUAAUAAUAUAAUAUAUUUAAUAAAAAUAAUACUUUAUUAAUAUAUUAUCUAUAUUAGUUUAUAUUUUAAUUAUAUAUUAUCAUAGUAGAUAAGCUAAGUUGAUAAUAAAUAAAUAUUGAAUACAUAUUAAAUAUGAAGUUGUUUUAAUAAGAUAAUUAAUCUGAUAAUUUUAUACUAAAAUUAAUAAUUAUAGGUUUUAUAUAUUAUUUAUAAAUAAAUAUAAUAUAAUAAUAAUAAUUAUUAUUAUUAUUAAUAAAAAAUAUUAAUUAUAAUAUUAAUAAAAUACUAAUUUAUCAGUUAUCUAUAUAAUAUCUAAUCUAUUAUUCUAUAUACU
rnacentral:rRNA from 1 species